UGAUAUGUUUGAUAUAUUAGGUUGUAAUUGAGCCCAACUAUAUAUCAAACAUUCCUA
rnacentral:pre_miRNA from 1 species